rnacentral:rRNA from 1 species
CCAUAGCAUGAAGUCAAACAAGAGA